rnacentral:rRNA from 1 species
GAUGAACGCUGGCGGCGUGCCUAAUACAUGCAAGUCGAGCGAACAGACGAGGAGCUUGCUCCUCUGACGUUAGCGGCGGACGGGUGAGUAACACGUGGAUAACCUACCUAUAAGACUGGGGUAACUUCGGGAAACCGGAGCUAAUACCGGAUAAUAUAUUUAACCGCAUGGUUCAAUAGUGAAAAACGGUUUUUCUGUCACUUUUAGAUUGAUCCGCGCCGCAUUAGCUAGUUGGUAAGGUAACGGCUUACCAAGGCAACGAUGCGUAGCUGACCUGAGAGGGUGAUCGGCCACACUGGAACUGAGACACGGUCCAGACUCCUACGGGAGGCAGCAGUAGGGAAUCUUCCGCAAUGGGCGAAAGCUUGACGGAGCAACGCCGCGUGAGUGAUGAAGGUCUUCGGAUCGUAAAACUCUGUUAUUAGGGAAGAACAAAUGUGUAAGUAACUAUGCACGUCUUGACGGUACCUAAUCAGAAAGCCACGGCUAACUACGUG